rnacentral:rRNA from 1 species
UACGUAGGGUGCGAGCGUUAAUCGGAAUUACUGGGCGUAAAGCGUGCGCAGGCGGUUCGUUGUGUCCGUCGUGAAAGCCCCGGGCUUAACCUGGGAACUGCGAUGGAAACUAGCGAGCUGGAGUGUGGCAGAGGGGGGUGGAAUUCCGCGUGUAGCAGUGAAAUGCGUAGAGAUGCGGAGGAACACCGAUGGCGAAGGCAGCCCCCUGGGCUAACACUGACGCUGAGGCGCGAAAGCGUGGGGAGCAAACAGG